GGAAAUGAAGACACCCCAGCGAGCUACAGGGUUUUCCUAAAUGUGCAAAGUUGGGGGGUUCUGCUUUUGAGUAAAUUCUAUUGGUGUCUGUGUUGCUGAAGAAAUAAAGACGUUGAAUCUAUCAACUCUGAAAAACCAUCUGUCUGGGAUCAUCUGAUUUCCUUAACUUGAUCUUCCCAACAAAAGAGGCGAGAAAUUCUCGCGCGCAGGCCAAAGCGAGCCUCAGGGGCUCAGCGCUCCCAGAUGAACCGGUCUGACUCCAGGAAGAGACGGCCGCUUCCCUCCUCCAGCUCCCUCUCAGUCUUUCCUGCUGGCCUUCUGGAUCCGUUUCCCUGGAGGGAAGAGACCACGUGGAAACCUGAAAGACUGCCUGGGUGGGUCCUAAGAUCCUAUCAAGACACAGACUCUCUCCAGAUAUGAAGAACAGAGUUUUCCAGGACUCUCCAGGCAAGAAUACUGGAGUGGGUUGCCGUGCCCUUCCCCAUUGGAUCUUCCCGAUCCAGGGAUCGAACCCAUGUCUCCUGUGGCUCCUGACUUGCAGGUGGAUUCUUUACUUCUGAGCCACAGGGGACACCAUUAUAAGAGCAGAAACUCCCUACAAGGAAGAUAAUGGAGGAGGCUGGGCCCUGCCAGAUAAGAGAUAAAAGACCACAUCAUCCUCAUACUUGAAGUUAAGGAGACCUCCCCAACUACACAUGCGCAGAAAGGCUCCUUGGAGGUCAAAAAAGGAGGGGGCAUCACCUCAUAGUAAGUGAUGUCUGCCUACCUACGGUCAUCUGCACCAGAAUCCAUCUUGGCCAAGAGAUGCGCAUGCACAUGUGGGAGGACCCUGAACUAAACCAGUGCAGCCUCAGGACCAGGCAAAGCAUGAUUGGUCAAAGGAAACCUGGAAGAAAUGCCCCAUAAAAUGAUUCAGGCUACCACGAGGACA